GCCCGGAUGGUGAAAUUGGUAGACACACAAGACUUAAAAUCUUGCGCCUUAACAGGCGUGCCGGUUCGAUUCCGGCUCCGGGCACCA
rnacentral:tRNA from 1 species